rnacentral:rRNA from 1 species
AUUGAACGCUGGCGGCAGGCCUAACACAUGCAAGUCGAGCGGAUGAAGGGAGCUUGCUCCUGGAUUCAGCGGCGGACGGGUGAGUAAUGCCUAGGAAUCUGCCUGGUAGUGGGGGAUAACGUCCGGAAACGGGCGCUAAUACCGCAUACGUCCUGAGGGAGAAAGUGGGGGAUCUUCGGACCUCACGCUAUCAGAUGAGCCUAGGUCGGAUUAGCUAGUUGGUGGGGUAAAGGCCUACCAAGGCGACGAUCCGUAACUGGUCUGAGAGGAUGAUCAGUCACACUGGAACUGAGACACGGUCCAGACUACUACGGGAGGCAGCAGUGGGGAAUAUUGGACAAUGGGCGAAAGCAUGAUCCAGCCAUGGCGCGUGUGUGACGAAGGUCUUCGGAUUGUAAAGCACUUUAAGUUGGGAGGAAGGGCAGUAAGUUAAUACCUUGCUGUUUUGACGUUACCAACAGAAUAAGCACCGGCUAACUUCGUG